rfam:Deltaproteobacteria bacterium RIFOXYD12_FTLL_50_9 rifoxyd3_full_scaffold_2522, whole genome shotgun sequence.
CAUCAGGUAUGGCAACAUGCCUGAGGACCGGACAGGAGUCAGCCGAGGUCAUAGUAGUUCGCCUAGAGUAGACAGAGGGGAC